rnacentral:rRNA from 1 species
UACGGAAGGUCCGGGCGUUAUCCGGAUUUAUUGGGUUUAAAGGGAGCGUAGGCCGGCUUUUAAGUCAGCUGUGAAAGUCCGCGGCUCAACCGUGGAAUUGCAGUUGAAACUGGCAGUCUCGAGUUGGAGAGAAGUAUGCGGAAUGCGCGGUGUAGCGGUGAAAUGCAUAGAUAUCGCGCAGAACUCCGAUUGCGAAGGCAGCAUGCCGGCUCCACACUGACGCUGAGGCACGAAAGCGUGGGUAUCGAACAGG